AUUAUUAUUAUUAUUAUUAUGUGUGUGAAGCUUUGGAUGGGCGCUUGUCUCAAUUGAAAAUUGUUUGUUGAAAUUUGCGUUUGAAUAAGGAAAAUGUCCAUUUUACAACUAGGAAGAUGUUGCUGAAUUUUUGGCAAGAAUUGGAAAUGGUUAAAAUUUUUGCAGUAGAAUUAAUAAUUAGAAAGUAUAAAGUAGAAAUGUCAAUUAUAAUUGAUUUGAGAGCUAUGUGGACCUGAUCCUCCAUUUUGUAAUGGAAGUACGUAGGUAGCCUUCGGGUGCGGUCCAAAGUAGGUUAAUUUUAGUUUUCUUUAUUUUCAAAGUUUUCUUUCUAUUUCUUUAAAUUUUGGACCUGGAAUAAUAUUUAUGAAUUUUCCUUGUUAGUUAUUUAUGUAUCUCAAGAGAGUUAAGAUAUUACAAUAUAAAUUAAAUAGAUUUUCCUUGUUAGUUGUAUAACAUGAAAUGGUGGAUUGGUUAUGACAAACUUAAUAUCUACUUGAUCAACGAAGUUUGAAUAUGGAUAACAUUCAUUAGUAAAAAAAUAUAGACACACACCUCUUGCUUCAACUCAUGAGCAU
rnacentral:misc_RNA from 1 species